GUAUUAGUGGUUCAGUGGUAGAAUUCUUGCCUUCUAUACAGGAGAUCUGGGUUCAAUGCCUGGCCAAUGAA
rnacentral:tRNA from 1 species